UCAUCUGCCUUUACAUAGCCCCGUGGUAGAUUAUCCCGCCAGGAACCACGGCAGAGGCAUCGGCAUUCACGCGUGGCUCUGACCACUCCGGAUGACACAGGCAGCGCCAUGGGAGGCACGCCUGCCUCGGAUCCUCCUUGGGAGUUCCAGCAGCUUUCACUGAGCACUAUGUUCAACACAAAAACUACAAAGCCCAGGAACUACAUGGCUACAGAGAUUCUGCUGUGCUGCUGGGAAAACACCCAGCUAAUGAUUUCCUCCCCAAGACUAAAAACAGGAAGUGGAGAAACCAGGAAGAACUUAGAAACAUGAGGAGUCAGGAGACUAUCCCUUGGAUAAGCCCUGCCUGUGCCACUGAAGAGGUCACUAGAGUUACAGUUCCACUUUACAGUCUUCUGCUUUAGUCUAAAAGGCAAGGUAGGUAUUUUAGUAUUCCAAAGACAUGCAACUGGAAGCAGUAAAGAUCACUGACUGACUGUCGCCGCCUCCCCCAGCCCCCCCGUAUGAGUAUCUGAAGACCCUUUUCUCAAAUGGAAAUCAAUGAAAUGAGAUCUAAUUAUCAGUAUA